AACCGCCCGGUGCGGACCCGCAUGCCGGGUGGUGUGGGAGGGGCGCAGCCUCAAGGCUGCCCCCUAUCCCGAU
rnacentral:autocatalytically_spliced_intron from 1 species